rnacentral:rRNA from 1 species
UACGAAGGGGGCUAGCGUUGCUCGGAAUCACUGGGCGUAAAGGGUGCGUAGGCGGGUCUUUUAAGUCAGGGGUGAAAUCCUGGAGCUCAACUCCAGAACUGCCUUUGAUACUGAAGAUCUUGAGUUCGGGAGAGGUGAGUGGAACUGCGAGUGUAGAGGUGAAAUUCGUAGAUAUUCGCAAGAACACCAGUGGCGAAGGCGGCUCACUGGCCCGAUACUGACGCUGAUGCACGAAAGCGUGGGGAUCAAACAGG